GAAGGGGGCUAGCGUUGCUCGGAAUCACUGGGCGUAAAGGGUGCGUAGGCGGGUCUUUAAGUCAGGGGUGAAAUCCUGGAGCUCAACUCCAGAACUGCCUUUGAUACUGAAGAUCUUGAGUUCGGGAGAGGUGAGUGGAACUGCGAGUGUAGAGGUGAAAUUCGUAGAUAUUCGCAAGAACACCAGUGGCGAAGGCGGCUCACUGGCCCGAUACUGACGCUGAGGCACGAAAGCGUGGGGGAGCAAACAGGAUUAGAUACCCUGGUAGUCCACGCCGUAAACGAUGAAUGCCCAGCCGUUAGUGGGUUUACUCACUAGUGGCGCAGCUAACGCUUUAAGCAUUCCGCCUGGGAGUACGGUCGCAAGAUUA
rnacentral:rRNA from 1 species